GCAAAAAGCCCGAAGAAAGCUGUAAAGGCAGCGAAACCUGACUCCAAAAGACUUCAUUGCUCCUGAAGAAGAGAGUCCUAUGUGUGAGCGCUUUAGAUAUAGGUCAUCCAAAAAAUUUAUGAAAUAUAGAGAAUAUACGUCAAAAAGAAAUUGGAACUUUAACAUUAUUGUGUUAGAAUUCAGAUAUAUAAAAAGAAAAUUAAAUGCUAAUUUUAAUUUAACUCAAAAAGAAUGAGGUGAAAUUAUAUGACAGCCUAAAAAAAAACUUCAGAUAAGUGGCCGCGCGCCAAUGCCAAUGAUUUCAAAUUACGGAGUACCUGCCUCGCAGAUCCAGACGCGCAUUUUUAUGCUUUAUACGAAAAAAGUGUCGGUUCGCCCAAUAAGAAGAAAUUAUUAGGAGGGUGAUAGAAUUACAAACAAUUAAUGUAAUUUAAAAUCGAAAAGAUCAGGUUGCAUUUCAAUAGCAAUACUGAUUGAAUGAAUGAAAAGAGUUCUGGAGUACAAGAAAUUUUAUUCUGUAAAAUAAACUGACUCCGCAUCCGGAAACAGGAAAAGAAAAAUGAAUAUAAUUUUCGGUCGUUGUCGAAGCCGUACGGAACGCUAUUUAAUCACUGUGUUAAUUAAGAAAUAAAGAAUUUGAGUUCACUAUACAGAUAUUAAAAAAUUUAUAUUUAAGUAGAGACAAAAAUUAAUUAGUUAACUACUGCUGUCAUCAUAAAUGUAGCAUAUGGAUUCGAUGCUGAGCUUAUGUGACGUUAUUUGUUAGUGCUCCUCUUCUGUGUGGAUCGCCAUUUUCACGCGACCCUCGUGCUCUUCUUUUAUCUCUAUACAUAUUUUGAUGUGCGCUAAUUAUUGAGGAUUUUAUUUUGAACUGUGAUGAACUUCUAAGUGUUUCCGUUGGAUUAUGUUUGUGAAAUUAAGAUGGCGGGAAAUGAUUUUCCCCCCAUUAACUUUCGAGGAUGCGAAAGCUGUUGCUCGUCGCCUCGUGUAUUCUUUGGUGUCGGGUUUGCCGGAUGAACUUGUUAAAUACGCUCAUGAAAAACUGAAUAGCGAAUGUAACGACUUAUUAUUGAAAGAACCGACUGACCUCAAGGAUUACGUAAAAAUUCGCCACGCUCUCUUUACACAGAAAACAAUGUCGCCUGGCAUAGAACAAUACCAGAAAAUUAGGACUAUUUGUGAAGAGCUAACAAUUUUAUUUCAAGAUAAGUGCAAAGCAUUUUGUGAAUUACAUCAUAAUAUUGUUAAACUUAAUUAUGGUGGACUGGUUCUUAAUUUGCAUGAUGAAUAUAAUGUUAAUGAAAAUUCUAGUGCUGUUUGCAAUGUUGAUGUUAUUGAUACCCCUAAUCAGGUGAAGACUAAUAGUGACUGUGUUAUCAUUAUGGAGGAUAUUCAUACCCGUAAUGUUAAUAUUUCUGAUAAUAAUUCUCUUAUGACUUCUAAGCUUAAACGGCCGUCAAAAAAUCGAGUAAAAAAAACGGCCAGACCAUCUAAAUUGAUAAAGAAUAAUGUUGAAAUUCCCCUCAGUAAUAAAUUUCAUGAAUUACCCAAAGAUGUUUCGGACAGCAAUGAAAAUAAUAUGUUGAAAAUGUUGCCUAAGCCCAACCACCAAUUCAGUAUUCAGAUUUCAAGAAAAAUAUGAAGCAAGAUACGGGAUUAAAUUUCGCGGGCAAGGUUUGGGGGUGAUUUUUUGGAAAAUCUUUCCCAAAACAGAAGAUGCUCAUCGAGGUAUAACCAAUUAUAACGGCAGAUGUAAAAUUGAUUAUUAUCUCAUUACCAAAAAAUAUGACCGACUAAUUAAAGUACUAGCCAGAGGCCUUCUCAUAGACUGUUCGAUAGAUGAAAUUAAACAAGAAUUAAGUAACAUGGGGUUCAAAGUUAGGAAAAUUGCACAAAUGCAUAGACUAAAAGGUUAGAAGUAGUUAGGUGUUGCAACUGCCUCAAAGUAGGACACACCGCCAAUUUUAGGGGUUGUCCUAAAUUUCCAAAACCCAACAAAACUAACUCCAGACCUAUGUAAAUUGUACUGGAAAACUGAUAAUAUGUAAUAGAUCCCGUAGUACUAAUGAGUUAUCUUAUGCAAAUGUAACAAGUGGAAAUACGAUUAUGUUAGACACCCAGUCAAUACAAGUUGUAUUGAUGUAAACAGUACUAAUACCAGUAGCCUCAACUUAAAGCUCCCUAGGAGAAGUUUACAAGCUUCUAAAGGAAAUAGAUAGGUUGGAUGGAAAUUAAAGCAGUUGGAUGAGAACGAGCUGGUGACAAGAAAAAGAGGAAAAAGCGCAGGAAGGAAUCUUUCGCUAUUUAUAUCUACAAGGUUUUGAAACAGGUUCAUCCCGACAUUGGUAUUUCCAGCAAAGCAAUGUCCAUCACGAAUUCCUUCGUUAACGACAUCUUUGAGAGAAUUGCAGCAGAAUUUUUUCGUUUAGCUCAUUACAAUAAGAGGAGUACUAUCACUAGGCAAGAAACUCAAACUGCAGUACGACUGUUGUUGCCUGAUGAACUGGCAAAACAUGCUGUUGGGGAAGGUACCAAAGCUAUCACCAAGUA